UACGUAGGGGGCGAGCGUUGUCCGAAGUUACUGGGCGUAAAGAGUACGUAGGUGGCUUGUUAAGAUACAUCUGAAAGGUGACAGCUCAACUGUCAAUGGUGGUGUAAGACUGGCAGGCUUGAGGCAAGCAGAAGAGUGUGGAACUCCGAGUGUAGCGGUGGAAUGCGUAGAGAUUCGGAAGAACACCCAUGGCGAAGGCAGCACUCUGGGCUUGAGCCGCAAGGUUAACCUGACACUGAGGUACGAAAGCCAGGGGAGCGAACGGG
rnacentral:rRNA from 1 species